GUUCGCUUCUCAUGAAUUAUUUUUCUUACAAAUAAUUACAUGGUUCACGAGAUGAGACUAGCACAUUAUCAAGCCCAGGUGACCAGCUUAAUACAAAGGCAAAGAAAACACUGAUUUUCUGACAGCUCUUCCAAAAGAUCAGCCAUUUUAUUUUCAUCAUUAAAAAGCAAGUUUUGAUUGUUUAGGAGUUUCUUGUGAUGAAAAAUCCAGUAAACAGGUAGGAAAGUCUGGGUGCCAGUGUUGUAGCAUCUCGGAUCUAGAACUCAGAACUAACAUUCCACAAUUUCCAGGGUGCACAUAGUAAAAUCUGAGGCCCAGUACUGCAUGUUUUACUGGAGAGGAAGAGUUGGCUGUGCAAGAGGCAAAGUAUUUCUGCAAUCAUUACUGUGGGCCUAAUCCUAGAUCUUUGCUGUUACUGCAGCAUUCUGAGAAGCACUUUGAUUCGGUAAUCAGGCCCUUCACGUGGGAAUAUGAAGAGUUAAUUUCACGUGUGAAUAUUAAACCUUUUACUGAGCACAAUCAAGAAAUUUAUUUAGAACAUGACAGGCAGCUAAAACUAUUAUGCCCACUGUUCAAUUAGGAGCA
rnacentral:lncRNA from 1 species